UACGAAGGGGGCUAGCGUUGUUCGGAUUUACUGGGCGUAAAGCGCACGUAGGCGGAUCGAUCAGUCAGGGGUGAAAUCCCAGAGCUCAACUCUGGAACUGCCUUUGAUACUGUCGAUCUGGAGUAUGGAAGAGGUGAGUGGAAUUCCGAGUGUAGAGGUGAAAUUCGUAUGUAUUCGGAGGAACACCAGUGGCGAAGGCGGCUCACUGGUCCAUUACUGACGCUGAGGUGCGAAAGCGUGGGGAGCAAACAGG
rnacentral:rRNA from 1 species